GGAGAGUCUGGCGCAGAGAUGUCUAGAGAAUUAAAGAGAAAAAAAUGGAAACAAAGACAACAUUAUAAGUCCUCAACACUGAAGAGGCUUGCAUAUUAUAUGAUACCCAGUUAUUGUUGGAAUUGGACCACAAACAGGAUCAAGAAGCUGACUAUUGUUUCUGCCAUGGUUUAAGGUGAAUGAUGCACUCGGAUAAGGCAGAAUGACUGGCUUUUAGGUCAUUAUUAAUGAUUCUGAU